CAGGUCUGAUUCGUCUUGGACAGAGACUGAACUGCCAGCAGGUCACUUGGCUCAAGGUACCACAUGGCCCACAAGAGGAGAUGGUUGUCUCCAACCUUGCCCCUCAUGCUGCCCCCUUUGGCAACAAGACCUGCUCUCCCCCACCUCCCCGUGUGUGCUGCCACUAUCAGCCACUGAAACUCACAUUUUCUAAUUUAAAGAUAAUUUCUAAGUGUUUAGGUUUAUUUCUUGAGACUAUUUUUGGGUUUGGCUGGACAGGAAAAACAUUUGCACAUCAUAAAUUAAGAGAAUUGGCUGGACAGGAAAAACAUUUGCACAUCAUCUAUUAAGAGAUUUAAGAGAACCUGACAUUAUUCUAAAGUGGGAAAUUUUAAAGACAUUUUGGCUGUGUCUAAGAAGACAUGAAAAAUGUGUUGAAGGCUUCAAGCACACAUGUACAUUAAACAGUGGAUUGACGAAGUUCCUAGAAAGUUUUCCCUGUAGAACUGAAACUGGAAACACAUAAUCUUCACAUCAUUAUCCACAUUAUUGAAACUGUGAAAACCAAACCACGUGCAAUAACACAGCUGUUCUAGCUACAGGCAUUUAAUCUCCCACCAUCAUCUCAAAAUAUACAUGCUCCAGCUUCUGGUUAUGUACACAGCAAUCAAGAGCUAGGAAAAAUUUUAGCAAGCAUCAAGGGAAACUUCCUGUACUUAUUUCUGUGUCCCUGUUUAAGUUCAGAAACCAUAAAAAAAAAAAUCCCCCUGUACUGAGUUCUAGAGGAGUAGCUGAAUACCCUAGAGAAACAGGGGGAGAAAAUGUAUUAUGCUGGAAAUGAUGACUAUGUUUGGUCCCAAAAGUCACAUCAUGAAGAAUAUGAAGAAUGCUAGAUUUUUUACUAAGGGCAAAGUCAAGAGACUUAAAAGCUGAAUUAUUAAAUUAGUAUUUCUGGGAUCCCAUACAUCAUCAGGAAACUCCACAAAGUCUUGGGAAGGCAUGGCUCCUGCACCUCUUGCUGUGCCUAGGUGGAGAUGUGUUCCUCAUCCAGGUCUGGGGAACGAACCCUGACAGCAACAAAAUUAUUGUGAUCUUCAGCUACAGAAGCCUUGCCCCGCCCAAACUACGGAGAAAAUGGGGCAAAAACAACCCUUCCUUUUGCACAAUUUGUCUUCAAGCCAUUUUUCCCUAAGAACCUGGGUAAUUUCAGAUUCCUUUUCUCACCGCUGUUCUGUGUUUCCUAUCUGAAUAGAUUGCAGUCAACACAGGGCUAGCUGGCAUGUUCUGGAAAUGUUUUGACUGUGGUCAUUAAAAACACAUUAAAUAAACAUGCCUUAGGUGCCUCAAAAUCCACAAAGUAAACUCAUCACUAUGCUGAUAUCCAGUCUCUUUCUGUUUUCCAGCAUAAAAAUUGUUUCCAAGAAACACUCCAAGACAAUCUGUGCCAAUUCAGAAGGGAAGAGUCAGGUUAAUUCCAAAAGAUAACAUUAGUGCACAUUCUGGUGGAAAGACUUCUGUAGCUGCAUUAGAGGGUUUCACAGAAUCCCAUGGGGUCAUACCUGAGUGUAAUAGGGAUUAGAUGUCUUGGGCACUGCAAAAUUAUCAGAUACAGUCACCUUAAAAGGAAUAAAUCAAUGGGCAAUUCUCUGUUGUGUAGGAAACCUGCACUCUGUGGGUGCCCACUGUGCUCCACCCAAACCUGUCCCUCAUCCCAGGUGUGUUAAUAAUGGAUUUGUAAUAUAUCUGCUACUUUUACUUUCAUUUGGGUGAAAGCACUGUCUUUGUGAUUGACCAUCUUUGCUUGGAUGGUUUACAGCUAUCUAUAAUCUAUUCAGAUUAUUGGAAGGUGAAAUGGUAAAAAGAAAGAAAUUAAAUUUUCAAUUAUUUCCUGCCAAGUAUAAAUAACUGGAGUUAUUUAAUUAUACUUUUGCAGCAAACAUGUGUAUUCAUUAGUCACAUGCCCAUCCAAGCCAAGUACUCCUUUAUUUAGUACAUCUAAAAGCAUAUCUAAAAAUUACAGCUACCUGAAAAAAAUAUAAAACUUUCAAACAGGUUUAAACAAUUGUUGCAUAAAAACUGGAAAACCUGGAAGAACCAUCAUGAUCCUGGGAUCUGACCACUUGCAGGAUACGUGAUAUAAGCUCAUCGAGCAAUCUCACAAUUUCUGCCCAAACAGAACACAUAAUCUCCAAAAACACAAUCAUAAAAGCAAACACCUGCUGGACUGAGAGACCUGGUGACUGCACUGUAAAGCAUUUACCGGGUUUUGAAGUCUGCUGGUCAAUAUGGCAUUCUGGAAUAACCUAGUUUGACACAACAUGAGGAAUAAUUGCACACGUAUCGAUCAUUAUUGACCCUCCCCAUUUUGACAUUUCUCCUUCUGUUUUUCAUGACCUAAAUUUAAAACAAUAAGGGUUUGCUGUUUGUUUCCUGUGAGAUGGUGCAGCUAUUGAAGAAAGACUUGAAGAGAUUGGUUUUUUAAAUUAAAUCACACUUUGGUUUUUAACUGCCAGCUGUGAGGGGACGAGUAGAGAGCCAAAUUGUCUUUUGGGGGUGCUCUGUGGCCAGCAGUGCUCGGGCUGAGCUGCAAGCACCAGAGCACUGCUGCUAUCUACAGGUCUGUUCUGCACAGCACUCACACUGCACAUGGAGCCAGUGCUCCAGCAGGGAUGCCCGUGCUUGGGAACGGGACCAAAACACAGACACUGAAGUGUUCCGGCUUUGGGGAAGUGCAAGCUGGCAACCUGUAGCCUUUCUGCCCAGCGGCAAACCUGUGUCAGAAACCCAAAAUCAAGUGGACUUGAUUACAGGGAAGGAUGGUCUCUGCUGCAUGAGAGUACAAUUUCUGCCUUUUUCUUCUUUGUUUUUUUUUCUUUUCUACAAAUGAAGAGGAAACAUUGCACUCUCAGGUGCAGAGUAAGAGGAAGCAUCUGCUCCCAGAUGGGAAACCCCUCCCACCACAACACACAGGUGCACAAAACAGUGGUGUACACAGGGCUGGAAACCACCUUUAAGCCUGCAUUGCUGAAUUUUUAAGACCAUCUGUGAUAUAAUUAGAAUUUACUAAAAUUUAGUUGUGGCACUUUGUUGUUUGGAAUUUAAUUAAUAUUUCCUUCUGUGGCUUUUCCUCUGUAACCCAGAAAUUUUCACAGGUGCUUUUCUGCCUCUAUCAGUAAGACAGACAAGAUAACCUGGAAUGGGUUCAUCACUGCUGAAAUCAAACUCAGUAGCUUCCAGAACAGGAGAACAGUAAUAAAUAAAUAAAUCUAUCCAGCAAAUACAAGCAAACAGUGGAGACAUUAAAGCAUCUAUUUAACCAAAGGCUGUGGAUUUUGGAGUCAGGUUACCAAAGAGUAUCAGAUCACAAGCUUUCAACAAGCAAUAGAGGAAGGAGCAAACUCAGAAAAAGGAAAAAGUUAUUUUUUCCCCAUUAAAAAAUAUUUUUCCUAGUAAGGAAAAAAACCCCAUCUUAUUUGCAAAAUCUUUAUCUAAACUGAAAUCUUGUCCUGUCGACAAGAACACAUAAGUACAGAAGCAGAGCACCUUGCAGCCACAAUUAGAAACUCUAACAAAGGACAAAGGACAGUCUGAUCUGACACACGGAACCUCCCUGAAGAUUUUCCCAUUUGAGAGGCUAGAAAAGCUCUUUCAAAACUGAUUCCCCAAGACCAGCAGGAGCUGCAGGCUGAAAAAUCCUGCUCCAAAUGACUCUUAGCUCCACACUGAGCAUGAAGUUCAUACAUCCGUUUGUGGGGAAAAUAAGUAGCUGUUCCGUCUUCUUAAAAUACCAGUUUGUCUGGAAACAGCUGAUUUUCAGUACUGGAUAUGUAGUGAAAAUAUCAGUAUGACUGGAAAGGAGCAUUCUGAAUUUUUUUUCUUUUUCUUUUUUUUUUUUUUUUUUUUGGGGGGGCUCCCUUUUUUUUUUUUUUUUUUUUUUUUUUUUUUUUUUUUUUUUGGUGGAGUCCUUUUGUCAAAAGAGUUUAGUAAGCAAUCUGCUGCACCUAUAAUAAUUACUGAUUGUCCAUGAUUACUAAUGAUUACUAAUUGUCCAUGAAGUAUCGGGGAAUACCAAAUAACCUCUAGUAUGGCAGGAGAUCUUUUAAGCAUUGGAAAGAACAGACACCACAUAACGCUCAGAAAUUUCUCAUCCACAGAGCUCAGUCCUCGUGAUAGUUCCAAAGAGGGAGUGAAG
ensembl:lncRNA